CAUCAUUGACUGAAACAAUCAUUUCAACUGCAAUACCUGCUCAUUUGAAAUUUCACACAGGCCUUUAUUGCACAGGCACAUCGACACAUGCAGACUCUCUCUGUGUCAGUCAGAGGAGGGGUGUAAAGGUUAAAGUAAAGAUGUGAGAGAAAUAAAUAGUUUAUAUUAGAUUUGCUCACGCUAAUAAUUGCUUUUUUUAUUAUACCUGUUCCAGAUACAUCUGUUCUUGUAGGCAUAAUAAUUGGGGCUGUUCUGGUGAUUGGUGCAGUGUGUGGUUUGAUUUACUUUAUCAAAUGGAGAAAUAGAAAGGCAAACACGAAGAAAAAGCAGCCAGGGAUUUUAUAGAAAGUCAGAAGACGAGAUGAAGAAUCUGAUUGGAGAAAUCUUCAGCAUCAGUGUUUGUAUGCAAUGCAAUAUUUUAACCCAAAAAUAUUUCUGCUUUAUAAGCUUCUAUAAUUAUCUGGACACAUACGAGCUUGUGCUGUUUGAAGCGUUUAGCAUAAAUCAGUUACGCUGAAUUAAUAAGCAUGUACCUGACUGUUUUAUCAGAUUUGGACGUAUUUAACCACCUGUUACUAUAAGCACUGAAAGUGGUGUAAUUGAAGCUGGUAAAUGGCCUUUACACACUGUAGGUGCGGUUAAAGUUUGAUGCCUUUCAUUUUGGAUUGCUGCUGUCAUUUUGGAUUAACGUGUGUCAUUGUAAAAAACAUUUUAUAAAUGCUUAUGACAGCUGUUAUUAAGUGUCAUUUGCUCAGUUGUGACAUUUAAAUGAAAAGAUGACAUUGUUUGUUAUGACAACUUGACAUUAAAAAUACAUUGCAACCUG